rnacentral:rRNA from 1 species
CAGCACAAGGGAGUUUACUCCUGAGGUGGCGAGCGGCGGACGGGUGAGUAAUGCCUAGGGAUCUGCCCAGUCGAGGGGGAUAACAGUUGGAAACGACUGCUAAUACCGCAUACGCCCUACGGGGGAAAGAGGGGGACCUUCGGGCCUCUCGCGAUUGGAUGAACCUAGGUGGGAUUAGCUAGUUGGUGAGGUAAUGGCUCACCAAGGCGACGAUCCCUAGCUGUUCUGAGAGGAUGAUCAGCCACACUGGGACUGAGACACGGCCCAGACUCCUACGGGAGGCAGCAGUGGGGAAUAUUGCACAAUGGGGGAAACCCUGAUGCAGCCAUGCCGCGUGUGUGAAGAAGGCCUUCGGGUUGUAAAGCACUUUCAGUAGGGAGGAAAGGGUGAGUCUUAAUACGGCUCAUCUGUGACGUUACCUACAGAAGAAGGACCGGCUAACUCCGUGCCAGCAGCCGCGGUAAUACGGAGGGUCCGAGCGUUAAUCGGAAUUACUGGGCGUAAAGCGUGCGCAGGCGGUUUGUUAAGCGAGAUGUGAAAGCCCUGGGCUCAACCUAGGAAUAGCAUUUCGAACUGGCGAACUAGAGUCUUGUAGAGGGGGGUAGAAUUCCAGGUGUAGCGGUGAAAUGCGUAGAGAUCUGGAGGAAUACCGGUGGCGAAGG